rnacentral:rRNA from 1 species
GCGGAGGGAUCAUUACCGAGUUUACAACUCCCAAACCCCUGUGAACAUACCUUAUGUUGCCUCGGCGGAUCAGCCCGCGCCCCGUAAAAAGGGACGGCCCGCCGCAGGAACCUUAAACUCUGUUUUUAGUGGAACUUCUGAGUAUAAAAAACAAAUAAAUCAAAACUUUCAACAACGGAUCUCUUGGUUCUGGCAUCGAUGAAGAACGCAGCAAAAUGCGAUAAGUAAUGUGAAUUGCAGAAUUCAGUGAAUCAUCGAAUCUUUGAACGCACAUUGCGCCCGCCAGUAUUCUGGCGGGCAUGCCUGUUCGAGCGUCAUUUCAACCCUCAAGCCCAGCUUGGUGUUGGGAGCUGCAGUCCUGCUGCACUCCCCAAAUACAUUGGCGGUCACGUCGAGCUUCCAUAGCGUAGUAAUUUACAUAUCGUUACUGGUAAUCGUCGCGGCCACGCCGUUAAACCCCAACUUCUGAAUGUUGACCUCGGAUCAGGUAGGAAUACCC